rnacentral:rRNA from 1 species
UACGGGGGGGGGCAAGCGUUGUUCGGAAUUACUGGGCGUAAAGGGCUCGUAGGCGGCCAACUAAGUCAUACGUGAAAUCCCCCGGCUUAACCGGGGAACUGCGUCUGAUACUGGAUGGCUUGAGUUCGGGAGAGGGAUGCGGAAUUCCAGGUGUAGCGAUGAAAUGCGUAGAUAUCUGGAGGAACACCGGUGGCGAAGGCGGCAUCCUGGACCGAUACUGACGCUGAGGAGGCGAAAGCCAGGGGAGCCAAAGCGGG